GCCGCUUUAGCUCAGUUGGUAGAGCAUCUCAUUCGUAAUGAGAGGGUCGCCGGUUCGAAUCCGGCAAGCGGCUCCA
rnacentral:tRNA from 1 species